UUCCGGUUGAUCCCGCCGGACCUGACUGCUAUCGGAUUGAUACUAAGCCAUGCGAGUCUUUGCAGUAAUGCAAGGCAUACGGCUCAGUAACACGUAGUCAACUUACCCUAUGGACGAGGAUAAUCUCGGGAAACUGAGCAUAAUACUCGAUAGAUCAUAAUGCCUGGAAUGGUUUAUGGUUGAAAUGAUUCGUCGCCAUAGGAUGGGACUGCGGCCUAUCAGCUUGUUGGUGAGGUAAUGGCCCACCAAGGCGAUUACAGGUACGGGCUCUGAGAGGAGAAGCCCGGAGAUGGGUACUGAGACAAGGACCCAGGCCCUAUGGGGCGCAGCAGGCGAGAAAACUUUGCAAUGUGCGAAAGCACGACAAGGUUAAUCCGAGUGAUUUCUGCUAAAGAAAUCUUUUGCAAGUCAUAAAACCACUAGUGAAUAAGGGGUGGGCAAGUUCUGGUGUCAGCCGCCGCGGUAAAACCAGCACCUCAAGUGGUCAGGAGGAUUAUUGGGCCUAAAGCAUCCGUAGCCGGCUCUGUAAGUUUUCGGUUAAAUCCAUGUGCUCAACGCAUGGGCUGCCGAAAAUACUGCAUAGCUAGGGAGUGGGAGAGGUAGACGGUACUCGGUAGGAAGGGGUAAAAUCCUUUGAUCUAUCGAUGACCACCUGUGGCGAAGGCGGUCUACCAGAACACGUUCGACGGUGAGGGAUGAAAGCUGGGGGAGCAAACCGGAUUAGAUACCCGGGUAGUCCCAGCUGUAAACGAUGCAGACUCGAUGAUGCAUUGGCAUAAUAGCCAGUGCAGUGUCGCAGGGAAGCCGUUAAGUCUGCCGCCUGGGAAGUACGUACGCAAGUAUGAAACUUAAAGGAAUUGGCGGGGGAGCACCACAAGGGGUGAAGCCUGCGGUUCAAUUGGAUUCAACGCCGG
rnacentral:rRNA from 1 species